rnacentral:misc_RNA from 1 species
GUGAAUCAUCAAAUUUUUGAACGCAAGUUGCACUUUCUGGGAUGACGGAAAGUAUGCGUGUUUGAGGGUCAGUUAAAUAAAAAUCGGUGUUGUUACUGCUUUUCGUGGUUACGCGUCGGAAUUAACUUGUAUUACCUGCGGUUAAGUGACUUAAAAUUUUGUAUGAUAUUCGAACGUAUUUAAAAUUCUUUCGUACCUUUGAGAUAUCGAAUACCUUUCUAUGUUCGG